CCUACGGGGGGCAGCAGUAGGGAAUAUUGCUCAAUGGGGGAAACCCUGAAGCAGCAACGCCGCGUGGAGGAUGAAGGUUUUCGGAUUGUAAACUCCUUUUGUUAGAGAAGAUAAUGACGGUAUCUAACGAAUAAGCACCGGCUAACGCCGUGCCAGAAGCCGCGGGAAUACGGAGGGUGCAAGCGUUACUCGGAAGCACUGGGCGUAAGGAGGACGUAGGCGGGAUAGCAAGUCAGAUGUGAAAUGCUAUGGCUUAACCAUAGAACUGCAUUUGAAACUGUUAUUCUAGAGUAUGGGAGAGGUAGGUGGAAUUCUCGGUGUAGGGGUAAAAUCCGUAGAGAUCAAGAGGAAUACUCAUUGCGAAGGCGACCUGCUAGAACAUCACUGACGCUGAUGCGCGAAAGCGUGGGGAGCAAACAGGAUUAGAUACCCUAGUAGUC
rnacentral:rRNA from 1 species